UGCACGCCAUUGACGCGGCUACACAACCGCGCUUUUACCUGUCAUAAACUUUCAUUGGCUAUUCCGCAGUUAUUGGGUAUGGAUUCUCUAUGACCAUUGGUUCAAAUGCAUGCUUUACUUUCGCUGAUUGGUCCAAACAUAGGUCAUCGCUCGUGAAUGCGGAAGUCGUGUWGUCUACUGAGUCACCGUUGUAUCAGCUGAUUCUUUCUGAGAGACGUCGCUGACUCAGCGGAGCCCGGUAGAGGGGAGGAGAGACUGAGGGAGCUGGAGAGAAGCCAGUAUGAUUGGUGCAGAACAACAGACUGACAGCAUGGGUGAAGAGGGGCCCCCUAGUCUGGAGUACAUCCAAGCCAAGGACCUGUUCCCCCCGAAGGAGCUGGUCAGUGAGGACGACAACCUG